rnacentral:rRNA from 1 species
UAUUACUAAGCGGAGGAAAAGAAACUAACCAAGAUUGACAUAGUAAGGGCGACUGAACUGUCAUGAGCUCAGCAUGUGAAUCCGCGUCCGCUCGAGCGAGCGCUGAAUUGUGGUCUUACGGUUCUUGCGCCACACGGUCCAGACCACGUUUUUUGGAAUAAAACAGCACAGAGGGUGAAACUCCUGUUUGUUUGGCCAACCGAGGCAAGAACCAACGAGUCGAGUUGUUUGGGAUUGCAGCUCAAAUGCGGUGGUAAAUUCCAUCUCUAGCUAAAUACUGGUAGGAAACCGAUAGCGUACAAGUACCGUGAGGGAAAGAUGCAAAGAACUUUGAAAAGAGAGUGAAAGAGUACCUGAAAUUGCUGAAAAGGAAGCGAACGAACCUAGUGACAGCUACGUCAUACUUUCCACCGUGCUUGCAAGGUGGACGCUGUGGCGAGCCCUGUUCGACUUGAUGACAGAUCCAUGUGCAAACUGGUGCUCGAAAGUUACUUUCUUGCGCCUCCCGCACGUGCUCUCAUCGAGCCGAACGAAAUAGAUUUGUUUGCCCCGUCUAGAAACACGGACCAAGGAGUCUAACAUAUGUGCGAGUACUGGGGUAGCAAACCUUGGUGCGCAAUGAAAGUAACAGCGGCUAGAAUGUGCUGGGCAACGCAGAGUCCGCCGGCCACAAUCCCGCGGGAAAAUGGUCUGAGUGUGAGCAUACAUGUUGGGACCCGAAAGAUGGUGAACUAUGCUUGAGUAGGGUGAAGCCAGGGGAAACUUUGGUGAAGGCUCGCAGCGAUUCUGACGUGCAAAUCGAUCGUCAAACUUGAGUAUAGGGGCGAAAGACUAAUCGAACUAUCUAGUAGCUGGUUCCCUCCGAAAUUUCCCUUAGGAUAGCUGCAAUCUAGUACAAACCAGUUUUGUCA